AUUGAACGCUGGCGGCAGGCCUAACACAUGCAAGUCGAGCGGUAGAGAGGUGCUUGCACCUCUUGAGAGCGGCGGACGGGUGAGUAAUGCCUAGGAAUCUGCCUGGUAGUGGGGGAUAACGUCCGGAAACGGACGCUAAUACCGCAUACGUCCUACGGGAGAAAGCAGGGGACCUUCGGGCCUUGCGCUAUCAGUUGAGCCUAGGUCGGAUUAGCUAGUUGGUGAGGUAAUGGCUCACCAAGGCGACGAUCCGUAACUGGUCUGAGAGGAUGCUCAGUCACACUGGAACUGAGACACGGUCCAGACUCCUACGGGAGGCAGCAGUGGGGAAUUUUGGACAAUGGGCGAAAGCCUGAUCCAGCCAUGCCGCGUGUGUGAAGAAGGUCUUCGGAUUGUAAAGCACUUUAAGUUGGGAGGAAGGGUUGUAGAUUAAUACUCUGCAAUUUUGACGUUACCGACAGAAUAAGCACCGGCUAACUCUGUGCCAGCCGCCGCCUAACAC
rnacentral:rRNA from 1 species